rnacentral:pre_miRNA from 1 species
AGGCAGUGUAUUGUUAGUUUGCUGUGGCUCUAAUACCAGCAACUGCAUACACUUCCACA